rnacentral:rRNA from 1 species
CCUACGGGGGGCUGCAGUGGGGAAUAUUGGACAAUGGGGGCAACCCUGAUCCAGCCAUGCCGCGUGUGUGAAGAAGGCCCUCGGGUUGCAAAGCACUUUCAGUGAGGAAGAACGCCUGGUGGUUAAUACCCAUCAGGAAAGACAUCACUCACAGAAGAAGCACCGGCUAACUCCGUGCCAGCAGCCGCGGUAAUACGGAGGGUGCGAGCGUUAAUCGGAAUUACUGGGCGUAAAGCGCGCGUAGGUGGCUUGAUAAGCCGGUUGUGAAAGCCCCGGGCUCAACCUGGGAACGGCAUCCGGAACUGUCAAGCUAGAGUGCAGGAGAGGAAGGUAGAAUUCCCGGUGUAGCGGUGAAAUGCGUAGAGAUCGGGAGGAAUACCAGUGGCGAAGGCGGCCUUCUGGACUGACACUGACACUGAGGUGCGAAAGCGUGGGUAGCAAACAGGAUUAGAUACCCCAGUAGUC